UCUAAGUUUGAAGUCAAGUGGAGAAUAUUGGUCAAUGCACGAAAGUGUGAACCAGUAACUUAGAGUUAAAAGUCAUUUUCUGAUAUCAGAAGAUUUACUUUUGAAUAAGUAUAAUAAAUGAUGAUUAUUAUACCGAAUAGUCCAGUCUAAUCUCCGUGCCAGCAGUCGCGGUAAUACGGAAUCGGGCA
rnacentral:ncRNA from 1 species